GGCUUAACUGUGAGCGUGCGGGCGAUACGGGCAGACUUGAGUACUGCAGGGGAGACUGGAAUUCCUGGUGUAGCGGUGGAAUGCGCAGAUAUCAGGAGGAACACCGGUGGCGAAGGCGGGUCUCUGGGCAGUAACUGACGCUGAGGAGCGAAAGCGUGGGGAGCGAACAGGAUUAGAUACCCUGGUAGUCCACGCCGUACACGGUGGGUACUAGGUGUGGGUUUCCUUCCUUGGGAUCCGUGCCGUAGCUAACGCAUUAAGUACCCCGCCUGGGGAGUACGGCCGCAAAGGCUAAAACUCAAAGAAAUUGACGGGGGCCCGCACAAGCGGCGGAGCAUGUGGAUUAAUUCGAUGCAACGCGAAGAACCUUACCUGGGUUUGACAUGCACAGGACGCCGGCAGAGAUGUCGGUUCCCUUGUGGCCUGUGUGCAGGUGGUGCAUGGCUGUCGUCAGCUCGUGUCGUGAGAUGUUGGGUUAAGUCCCGCAACGAGCGCAACCCUUGUCUCAUGUUGCCAGCGGGUAAUGCCGGGGACUCGUGAGAGACUGCCGGGGUCAACUCGGAGGAAGGUGGGGAUGACGUCAAGUCAUCAUGCCCCUUAGGUCCAGGGCUUCACACAUGCUACAAUGGCCGGUACAAAGGGCUGCGAUGCCGCGAGGUUAAGCGAAUCCUUUUAAAGCCGGUCUCAGUUCGGAUCGGGGUCUG
rnacentral:rRNA from 1 species